GAUGAACGCUAGCUACAGGCUUAACACAUGCAAGUCGAGGGGUAACAAGGGGAAAGCUUGCUUUCCUUGUUGACGACCGGCGCACGGGUGAGUAACGCGUAUCCAACCUGCCUAUAACUAGGGAAUAACCUUGCGAAAGUAAGACUAAUACCCUAUGAUUUCCUUUGAUGACAUCAGAUUAGGAAUAAAGAUUUAUCGGUUAUAGAUGGGGAUGCGUCUGAUUAGCUUGUUGGCGGGGUAACGGCCCACCAAGGCAACGAUCAGUAGGGGUUCUGGGAGGAAGGUCCCCCACAUUGGAACUGAGACACGGUCCAAACUCCUACGGGAGGCAGCAGUGAGGAAUAUUGGUCAAUGGGCGGAAGCCUGAACCAGCCAAGUAGCGUGCAGGAUGACGGCCCUAUGGGUUGUAAACUGCUUUUAUACAGGAAUAAAGUUAGCCACGUGUGGUUAUUUGUAGGUACUGUAUGAAUAAGGACCGGCUAAUUCCGUGCCAGCCGCCGCGGUAA
rnacentral:rRNA from 1 species